rnacentral:tRNA from 1 species
GGAAGUGUAGCUCAGUGGUACAGCACUUGCCUAGCAUUCAAGAGGCCCUGAGUUUGAUCCUCAGCUACUCAA